UGCCAUUCAGAAAUCUGGCACGCACCUAAGGUUCCCUUCGAAAAAAUCCAGAGAGGUUUGUCUCCUCUGCACACGCCCCGCCGUCUCCGCCGAACCGGCCACCGCAUGUCGCCGCCGCCGCUCACAAAGCCAGCCGCCCACUGUUGAGACCGUAGCCGGUCACGGAAUAACGUUCCCCUCUUCCUCUUCUUCUCGCGCGCAAGAGAGAUCGUCUUCUCCUUCGUGAAUCGCCUCUUGGGCGAGCUCGACCACCGCGCCGGCCUGGGCUCCACUAGCGUCACCGGUCGUCGCCAGAGAUGCCUCCGGUCACCACGUCAACAUCCUCCUUCCCUCUUCUGUUGCAAACAGAGGAACCCUCUCCCUCUUCUUCAAAUUCGAGGUUGCCAUCACCAACGAGGAUGGACGUCGCCGCUGCUGCUUACAAGCUAGUCGCCGCGAGCUCAUGCCGGAAGGAACAGUGCCCUUCACGGCGGUUCCAGCCCUCUGGAAUCGCACCGAGCUUACGAAAUCGACACAAGCACUAAGACAUUAAAUCUGGUUCUGGCUGUUAUAGGUGAAGAAUGACAUUGAAAUUUGAUAAAGAGCAGGUUGAGGAGAUGAACUCCGUUGGAGAGUGGAAGAAAGCCGUGAGUGUCGAGAUAUGGAUACGGCUAUGAGCGAAUCCAGAUGGGUGGUAGCAGGAACUUGGUGCUUGGUACUGAGGUCAUGGGACUUGAAAAGGUUGAACUACUGAUGCAGUCCGAAAUGUCAAUUUGUCACCCUUGUUUGAAUGUGUUGGAUAUAACAGAGGAUAAAAUGGUUUAUUUCAGAGGACAAGCUUUGAGUGUAUUGGCCUGAGAUCUGUGGUUUAAUCUGUUUGAUACAGGUGAAGGAUGAUCUUGAGAUGGAAAAAUUAUUUCUGCCUUCUGUUUUGCUGUAUGAAAAUGCGUCUGUUAUUCCAGUUUGCUUUUAUUUGCAUGUUUUCUGGGUGCUAAAGUGGUAUGAAGUGUUGAUGUUAGGGAAGUGUAUGCCUAUCUUCUAUUGUUAGUUAGAUAGAUGAAAUUUGCAGACAGAAACUGCAUUUUGGGUGCAGUUUUGAUUAACAGAGGAAGACAAACAAACGUAACCAUAUACAUUGAUUGAAACAUCAUUCAUCAUUCAUUCAUCUCCCAGCAUGCACAAGGAAAACAUAUAUAUGAGCAUAUAGACGAGCAUGACCAAAGAGCUUGGAUAUACGAAGACUUACCUUUGCAGCU